rnacentral:rRNA from 1 species
GAUGAACGCUGGCGGCGUGCCUAAUACAUGCAAGUCGAGCGAACGGACGAGAAGCUUGCUUCUCUGAUGUUAGCGGCGGACGGGUGAGUAACACGUGGAUAACCUACCUAUAAGACUGGGAUAACUUCGGGAAACCGGAGCUAAUACCGGAUGAUAUUUUGAACCGCAUGGUUCAAAAGUGAAAGACGGUCUUGCUGUCACUUAUAGAUGGAUCCGCGCUGCAUUAGCUAGUUGGUAAGGUAACGGCUUACCAAGGCGACGAUGCAUAGCCGACCUGAGAGGGUGAUCAGCCACACGGGAACGGAGACACGGUCCAGACUCCUACGGGAGGGAGCAGUGGGGAAUAGUGGACGAUGGGCGCAAGCCGGGUCGAGCGAGACCGCGUGGUAGAAGAAGGCUUUCGGGUUGUAAAGCCCUUUUGUUGGGAAAGAAAAGCAGCAGGUUAAUACCCCGCUGUUCUGACGGUACCCAAAGAAUAAGCACCGGCUAACUUCGUG